rnacentral:rRNA from 1 species
AGUGAACGCUGGCGGUAGGCCUAACACAUGCAAGUCGAACGGCAGCACAGUAAGAGCUUGCUCUUACGGGUGGCGAGUGGCGGACGGGUGAGGAGUACAUCGGAAUCUACUUUUUCGUGGGGGAUAACGUAGGGAAACUUACGCUAAUACCGCAUACGACCUACGGGUGAAAGCAGGGGAUCUUCGGACCUUGCGCGAUUGAAUGAGCCGAUGUCGGAUUAGCUAGUUGGCGGGGUAAAGGCCCACCAAGGCGACGAUCCGUAGCUGGUCUGAGAGGAUGAUCAGCCACACUGGAACUGAGACACGGUCCAGACUCCUACGGGAGGCAGCAGUGGGGAAUAUCGGACAAUGGGCGCAAGCCUGAUCCAGCCAUACCGCGUGGGUGAAGAAGGCCUUCGGGUUGUAAAGCCCUUUUGUUGGGAAAGAAAAGCAGCAGGUUAAUACCCCGCUGUUCUGACGGUACCCAAAGAAUAAGCACCGGCUAACUUCGUG